GACGAACGCUGGCGGCGUGCUUAACACAUGCAAGUCGUACGGUAAGGCCCUUUCGGGGGUACACGAGUGGCGAACGGGCGAGUAACACGUGCGUAACCUGCCCACCCCUUUGGGAGAACGAUAGGAAACUGGUGCUAAUACUGGCUAUGUGCUCCUGCCGCCUGGUGGGGGUUGGAAAGAUACGGUGGUUGUGGAUGGACUCGCGGCCUAUCAGCUUGUUGGUGGGGUAGUGGGCUACCAAGGCGGGGACGGGUAGCCGGCCUGGGAGGGUGACCGGCCACAUUGGGACUGAGAUACGGCCCAGACUCCUACGGGGAGCAGCAAGGGGGGAUAUUGCACAAUGGGCGCAAGCCUGAUGCAGCAACGCCGCGGGCGGGAUUACGGCCUUCGGGUUGGAAAACGCUUUCAGCAGGGACGAAGCUUUUUGUGACGGUACCUGCAGAAGAAGCACCGGCUAACUACGUG
rnacentral:rRNA from 1 species